CCCUAUGGGGUGCAGCAUCGGUGGUUGUGUCGUCCGGCACGUCGGCCAUUUUUUACGCGCUCAUUACAAUUGCGGAAGCGGGCGAUGAAAUUGUUUCAGCGAAUAAUUUGUACGGCGGUACGUACACGCAGUUUGACGCCAUCCUGCCGAAACUGGGUAUCAAAACCAUAUUUGUCGAUCCGCAUGACCCGAAGAAUUUUGAAAAAGCAAUUACCGAAAAAACGCGCGCAUUAUUUAUCGAAACCAUCGGCAAUCCGGUGCUGGAUUUUACGGAUGUAAAAGAAGUCGCCGACAUUGCCCACAAGCAUGGCAUUCCGUUGAUCGUCGAUGCAACUUUUACCACACCGUAUCUGCUGCGCACCAUCGAUUACGGCGCGGAUAUUGUUGUCAAUUCGCUGACGAAAUGAAUGGGCGGGAGGGC
rnacentral:rRNA from 1 species